AGAGUUUGAUCCUGGCUCAGAGCGAACGCUGGCGGCGUGCCUAACACAUGCAAGUCGAACGUGAACGGGGCAACCCUAGUAAAGUGGCGUACGGGUGAGUAACACGUAGGUAAUCUACCUUAGAGUCUGGGAUAACCUGACGAAAGUCGGGCUAAUACUGGAUAGAGCGACGGAAGCCGUAAUGGUUUUUUCGGGAAAGGGAGCCUGAUAAGGGCCUUUGCUCUAAGAUGAGCCUGCGUCUGACUAGUUAGUUGGUGGGGUAAUGGCCUACCAAGACGAUGAUCAGUAGCUGGUCUGAGAGGAUGAUCAGCCACACUGGAACUGAAACACGGUCCAGACUCCUACGGGAGGCAGCAGUGGGGAAUCUUGCGCAAUGGACGAAAGUCUGACGCAGCCACGCCGCGUGAGUGAAGAAGGCCUUCGGGUUGUAAA
rnacentral:rRNA from 1 species